UACAGAGGUGCCGAGCGUUAGGCGGAAUCACUGGGCUUAAAGCGUGUGUAGGCGGAUGCCUAAGUACCUUGUGAAAUCCCCCGGCUUAACCGGGGAACUGCUUGGUAUACUGGGUGUCUUGAGCCACUUAGGGGCGACCGGAACAAGCGGUGGAGCGGUGAAAUGCGUAGAUAUCGCUUGGAACGCCGAAGGUGAAAACAGGCUGCUGGGGUUGCGCCGACGCUGAGACACGAAAGCCAGGGGAGCAAACGGG
rnacentral:rRNA from 1 species